rnacentral:misc_RNA from 1 species
GAUGAAGAACGCAGCGAAAUGCGAUAAGUAAUGUGAAUUGCAGAAUUCCGUGAAUCAUCGAAUCUUUGAACGCACAUUGCGCCCUCUGGUAUUCCGGGGGGCAUGCCUGUCCGAGCGUCAUUUGCAACCCUCAAGCCCGGCUUGUGUGAUGGGUGCCGUCCCCUACGGGACGCGCCCCGAUGGCAAUGGCGGCGUCGCGGUUAUCCGAUCAGCCAAAGUGUAUGGGGCUUUGUCACUCACUUUACGGCCCGGACCGGCGCCAGUCCGAAUCAAUCUUUUUUCUAAAGUUGACCUCGGAUCAGGUAGGGAUACCCGCUGAACUUAAGCAUAUCAAUAAGCGGAGGA